rnacentral:rRNA from 1 species
UUUACACAUGCAAGUCGAACGGUAACAGGUCUUCGGAUGCUGACGAGUGGCGAACGGGUGAGUAAUACAUCGGAACGUGCCUAGUAGUGGGGGAUAACUACUCGAAAGAGUAGCUAAUACCGCAUGAGAUCUACGGAUGAAAGCAGGGGACCUUCGGGCCUUGUGCUACUAGAGCGGCUGAUGGCAGAUUAGGUAGUUGGUGGGGUAAAGGCUUACCAAGCCUGCGAUCUGUAGCUGGUCUGAGAGGACGACCAGCCACACUGGGACUGAGACACGGCCCAGACUCCUACGGGAGGCAGCAGUGGGGAAUUUUGGACAAUGGGCGAAAGCCUGAUCCAGCAAUGCCGCGUGCAGGAUGAAGGCCCUCGGGUUGUAAGCUGCUUUUGUACGGAACGAAAAGCCUGGGGCUAAUACCCCCGGGUCAUGACGGUACCGUAAGAAUAAGCACCGGCUAACUACGUGCCAGCAGCCGCGGUAAUACGUAGGGUGCAAGCGUUAAUCGGAAUUACUGGGCGUAAAGCGUGCGCAGGCGGUUUUGUAAGACAGUGGUGAAAUCCCCGGGCUCAACCUGGGAACUGCCGUUGUGACUGCAAGGCUAGAGUGCGGCAGAGGGGGAUGGAAUUCCGCGUGUAGCAGUGAAAUGCGUAGAUAUGCGGAGGAACACCGAUGGCGAAGGCAAUCCCCUGGGCCUGCACUGACGCUCAUGCA